UUCAUAUCGGACAUUUGACAGCGGACAUGUUCAGUGGACAGAGCUAGACAAGUAGUUCGGGGAAUAUAAAUAAUUGUUGUUGCCAAGCUAGUCAACUACAGUAUGUCGUAUUGACGACUCUUACCAAUGUCUCAUCUUUAGACCCUUGACCCAUUGUUGGGGGUCUUGAAUGUCUUAAAUAUACUUAAAAGAAAUGAAAUAAAUGUUCAUGAAGAACG